UCAGGGUUCUAUCCCUUACAGUGGCACCACUCCGAUUCCAUCCCGAACUCGGUUGUUAAACGCUGCGGUGGCGAAGAUAUUUGGCGGGUCACUGCCUGAGAAAAUAGCUCGAUGCCUGGU
rnacentral:rRNA from 1 species